rnacentral:lncRNA from 1 species
GUCCUUGCGGCCGAAGAGGGCGCCACAAACGGCCCCCCUUCCAGGCUCCCUUGGGACACGGAACCGGCUCAGAGCAAGGAGAAAGCUUUUUACAGACGAGGAAGGCUGUGGAGACAGGACGGAGGAUGCAGCCGCUGUGGCCGCUGCGGAGGGAGCUGUCCUUCUGUGGCUCCCAGUCCCGACCCGCUCCGCCCUCCGGAGCCGUCGCUGGGGCUCAGCCUGGGCCCAGCCCGGGAACUCAGCCACCACCAAACCUUUGUUCUACUCCUUGGCUUUUUUUUCCCCCUUCCUGGAAUCCGGAGCCUGGCAACAGCACGAAGCCCUUAGCAGGUGACUUGUCAAAGGCACCGCAAAACCCGGGGUGGCAUCCUGGAGACCUGCCAGGUAGCAGCUGCAUCUCCAUCUUUCACUUGUUGAAAGAAGACACGUUCUUAAGGACAAAGUUACCAAAUGCAAAGGAAAUUGUUUAAGAAAACCACAUCCAACAACUGCGUCCGUGUAAGCCUAGUGUUUUCUAAAUCCAUUAUAAUUUCUUUUCGUCAAAUGUUUGAUCCCUUUUCAGUGGUUUCAGGAACCCUUCAACAUUAGACUGGGGAUAAUAAUCAGGGAACAAUCCAUUUUUUUAAUGGGCAAAGAUCUGAAUAGAUACUCCGCCCAGGAAGAUGGAGAUGGCAGAUAAAGAUGGGACUCAAAUCAAAGCAGGGAAUGAGCCCAGCCCGGACCCGAGAGAACAGGUAGACGUCAAAGAGUGGCCACACCAAGUUCUGGCCGGGGCGUGUGGACUCUGCCUGUGGCUGUCGAGGAUGUGAAAGGUGCAGCCACUUCAGAAACCAGCUUCAUCCCUUAAUAAGCUGAACCUCCAUUUAGCAC